GGGGAAUAUUGGACAAUGGGCGCAAGCCUGAUCCAGCAAUGCCGCGUGAGUGAUGAAGGCCUUAGGGUUGUAAAGCUCUUUUACCAGGGAUGAUAAUGACAGUACCUGGAGAAUAAGCUCCGGCUAACUCCGUG
rnacentral:rRNA from 1 species